AGUGAAUGCUGGCGGUAGGCCUAACACAUGCAAGUCGAACGGCAGCACAGUAAGAGCUUGCUCUUACGGGUGGCGAGUGGCGGACGGGUGAGGAAUACAUCGGAAUCUACUUUUUCGUGGGGGAUAACGUAGGGAAACUUACGCUAAUACCGCAUACGACCUACGGGUGAAAGCAGGGGAUCUUCGGACCUUGCGCGAUUGAAUGAGCCGAUGUCGGAUUAGCUAGUUGGCGGGGUAAAGGCCCACCAAGGCGACGAUCCGUAGCUGGUCUGAGAGGAUGAUCAGCCACACUGGAACUGAGACACGGUCCAGACUCCUACGGGAGGCAGCAGUGGGGAAUAUUGGACAAUGGGCGCAAGCCUGAUCCAGCCAUACCGCGUGGGUGAAGAAGGCCUUCGGGUUGUAAAGCCCUUUUGUUGGGAAAGAAAAGCAGCAGGUUAAUACCCCGCUGUUCUGACGGUACCCAAAGAAUAAGUACCGGCUAACUUCGUG
rnacentral:rRNA from 1 species